AUGUGUAAGCAUCUUCUGAAUGUGAAACCAUCUUCUUAACGUAUAAGCAGCUAAUGAUUGUGUAACCAUCUCUUGAAUAUGUAACCAACUCCUGAAUGUGCAACCAAUGUGUAAUCAACUCAUGAAUGUGUUGCCAACUCCUGAAUAUGUAACUAAACCCUCAAUGUGUAACCAUCUUCUGAAUGUGUAACCAACUCCUGAAUGUGCAACCAAUGUGUAAUCAACUGAUAAAUGUGUUGCCAACUCCUGAAUAUGUAACCAUCUUUUGAAUGUGUAACCAUCUUCCGAAUGUGUAAUCAUCUUCUGAAUUUGUAACCAACUCAUGAAUAUGAAACCAUCUUCUGAAUGUGUCAAGAUCUUCUGAAUGCGUAACCAUCUCCGGAAUAUGUACCCAACUCCUGAAUGUGUUACUAUCUUCUGAAUGUGUGACCAACCCCUGAAUGUGUAAUCAACUCAUGAAUAUGUAACCAUCUUCUGAAUGUGUAAUCAUAUUCUGAGUGUAUCACCAUCUUUUAAAUGUAUGAGCAACCCCUGAAUGUGCAACCAACCCCUGAAUAUGUUACCAUAUUCCGAAUGUGUAACCAUAUUCCGAAUGUGUAACCAACCCCUGAAUGUGUAACCAACUCCUGAACAUGAAACCAACUCCUGCAUAUGAAUAUGUGACCAUCUUCCGAAUGUGUAACCAACUCCUAAAUGUGUAACCAUCUUCUGAAUGUGUAACCAACCUCUGAAUAAGAAACUAACCCUUCAAUGGGUAACCAAAUCCUGAAUGUGUAACCAACCCCUGAAUAUGUAACUAACUCCUGAAUGUGCAACCAAUGUGUAAUCAACUCAUGAAUGUGUUGCCAACUCCUGAAUAUGUAACCAUCUUUUGAAUGCGCAACCAUCUUCCGAAUGUGUAAUCAUCUUCUGAAUUUGUAACCAUCUUCUGAAUGUGUAAUGAUCUUCUGAAUGUGUAACCAAUUCCUAAAUGUGUAAGCAUUUUCUGAUUAUGUGACCAACCCCUAAAUGUGUAAUCACCCCCUGAAUUUGUAACCAACUCAUGAAUAUGUAACCAUCCUCUGAAUGUGUCAAGAUCUUCUAUAUGUGUAACCAUCUCCGGAAUGUGUAUCCAGCUCCUGAAUGUGUAAUCAUCUUCUGAAUGUGUAACCAAUUCCUGAAUGUGUAAACAUCUUCUAAAAGUGUUACCAUCUUCUGAAUGUGUGACCAAUCCCUGAAUGUGUCACCAACUCAUGAAUAUGUAACCAUCUUCUGAAUGUGUAAUCAUCUUUUAAAUGUAUGAGCAACCCCUGAAUGUGUAACCAACCCCUGAAUAUGUAACCAUAUUCUGAAUGUGUAACCAUAUUCCGAAUGUGUAACCAACCCCUGAAUGUAUAACCAACUCCUGGAUUUGAAACCAACUCCUGCAUAUGAAUAUGUAAUCAUCUUCCGAAUGUGUAACCAACUCCUAAAUGUGUAACCAUCUUCUGAAUGUGUAACCAGCCCCUGAAUAUGUAACUAAACCCACACUGUGUAACCUUCUUCUGAACAUGUAACCAUCUUCUGAAUAUGUAACCAUCUUCUGAAUGUAUACCAGGUCAUGAAAUUGCAACUAACUCCUGAAUGUGUGAUCAUCUUCUGAAUGUGUAACCGCAUUCUAAAUAUGUCACCAUCUUCUGAAUGUGUAACAACUCCUGAAUGUGAAACCAUCUUCUGAAUAUGUCACCAUCUUCUGAACAUGUAACCAUCUUCUGAAUAUGUAACAAUCUUCUGAAUGUAUAUCAGCUUCUGAAAGUGCAACCAACUCCUGAAUGUGAAACCAUCUUCUCAAUGUGUAAAAAUCUUCUGAAUGUGUCACCAUCUUUUAAAUAUAUCAGCAACCCCUGAAUGUGUACCCAACCCCUGAAUGUGUAACCAUAUUCCGAAUGUGUAGCCAACUCCUAAAUGUGUAACCAUCUUCUGAAUAUGUAACCAACUCCUGAAUAUGAAAGCAACUCCUGCAUAUGAAUAUGUAACCAUCUUCCGAAUGUGUAGCCAACUCCUAAAUGUGUAACCAUCUUCUGAAUGUGUAACCAAUUCCUGAAUGUGUAAACAUCUUCUAAAAGUGUUACCAUCUUCUGAAUGUGUGACCAAACUCCUGAAUGUGUAACCAACUCAUGAAUAUGUAACUCAUGAAUAUCUAACGAUCUUCUGAAUGUGUUACCAUCUUUUAAAUGUAUGAGCAACCACUGAAUGUGUAACCAACCCCUGAAUGAAUAACCAACUCCUGGAUUUGAAACCAACUCCUGCAUAUGAAUAUGUAACCAUCUUCCGAAUGUGUAACCAACUCCUAAAUGUGUAACCAUCUUCUGAAUGUGUAACCAACCCCUGAAUAUGUAACUAAACCCUCAAUGUGUAACCAUCUUCUGAAUGUGUAACCAACUCCUGAAUGUGUAGUCAACUCCUGAAUGUGUAACCAUUUCCUGAAUGUGUAACCAUCUUCUGAAU